GAUGAAGAACGUAGCGAAAUGCGAUAAGUAAUGUGAAUUGCAGAAUUCAGUGAAUCAUCGAAUCUUUGAACGCACCUUGCACCCUUUGGUAUUCCGAAGGGUAUGCUCGUUUGAGUGUCAUUGUACUCUCACACUUCCGAUCGUUUGGAUCGGGAGCGGUGGACUUGGGUGUUGCUGCUUUACCGUGGCUCACCUCAAAUGGAUUCGUGCAACUCCUGGUUGGACAUAGUACGGCGUGAUAAGUGUCUUCGCCGGCACCUCACUAGAGGGUGGCUGACCGGGAGCUCUGUGCUUCAAACCGUCUUCGGACAACAACUGACAACUUGACCUCAAAUCGAGUAGGACCACCCGCUGAACUUAAGCAUAUCAAUAAGCGGAGGA
rnacentral:misc_RNA from 1 species